UCAUUUCCAAGGUCAUUGUGCUAUAAUUUUCAUUCCACCAGAAGCAAAUGCUAUCAAGGGAAAGUCAACAUCCAGAAAAUCCAUGAAAAUAAAGCAAAAACAAAACAAUUUUUUUUCUUCUGUUCCGGUCUCUUCUAAGUCAGGGAAAUAAAGAAACAAGAGUUGCCCCCCGUCAAAUGCAGAUCUAGUAUAGAAAGAUGAAGCUUUGCACAAAUCGUUGUUACAAUGUUACAGUUACUUGGUGUAACAUAAUUUGGCUACAGUUACAAUGUUGAAUGGAAUGGUAACAUAAUUUCAGUUUUACGAGGUAAGUAAAACAUCAAAAUCACUCAGAGUCCAUUCUGCCACUUCAUCUUUGUCGCUAACAAAAACUUCUGUUCCCACAUCCAG